AGUGAACGCUGGCGGUAGGCCUAACACAUGCAAGUCGAACGGCAGCACAGUAAGAGCUUGCUCUUACGGGUGGCGAGUGGCGGACGGGUGAGGAAUACAUCGGAAUCUACUUUUUCGUGGGGGAUAACGUAGGGAAACUUACGCUAAUACCGCAUACGACCUACGGGUGAAAGCAGGGGAUCUUCGGACCUUGCGCGAUUGAAUGAGCCGAUGUCGGAUUAGCUAGUUGGCGGGGUAAAGGCCCACCAAGGCGACGAUCCGUAGCUGGUCUGAGAGGAUGAUCAGCCACACUGGAACUGAGAUACGGUCCAGACUCCUACGGGAGGCAGCAGUGGGGAAUAUUGGACAAUGGGCGCAAGCCUGAUCCAGCCAUACCGCGUGAGUGAAGAAGGCCUUCGGGUUGUAAAGCCCUUUUGUUGGGAAAGAAAAGCAGCAGGUUAAUACCCCGCUGUUCUGACGGUACCCAAAGAAUAAGCACCGGCUAACUUCGUG
rnacentral:rRNA from 1 species